AUCCUCACUUUGACAGCACAGAUACCAAAAUUGGAACAAUACCAAGAAGAUUAGCAUGGCCCCUGAGCAAGGAUGACACGCAAAUUCGCAAAGCGUUCCAUUUUUAU
rnacentral:snRNA from 1 species